rnacentral:lncRNA from 1 species
AACAACAACAACAGCUAGCAACAAGUAGUAAUCAUGAGAUUAAUGAAGAUAAUAAUAAUAAUAAUAAUAAUAAUAAUAAUGAAGGAGGAGGAGGAGGAAGAAGUGACGGUGGUGGUGGUGGUGAUCAUCAUAGUUCACAGAGACAUCAUCAUCAACAACAACAACAACAACAACAUCAUCAACAUCAUCAUAAUAUUCUCUCAGGCUUGAAUCAGUACGGACGGCAAGUUUCCGGCGAAUCUCAAGCUAGUGGAUCACUUGGAGGAGGUGGUGAUGAAGAGGAUCCACAAGAAUAGUCACACACACACACGAAAAGAACAAUUUAACGGUGGAUUUCGCCGCCGGCGGUGGUGGCGGCUGUGUAAUACUUUUGUUUUCGCCGUUAAUUUCUUUUUUUAUCUUCUGUAGUAAAUUUUUUGUUUGUUUUUUUUGCUAAGUAAAAAAAAAAACAAAACAAGUGAGAUUUUUUUUUUUUUUUUUUUUUUUGUGAUUUUUAAUUACUUUGAUUUAAAUUUGAUUUUUCUUGUGAGUGAGUGAUUAAAUAGUACACGAGAUUUUUUAUGUCAGGUUUUUUGGAUUUUGAGGAGAAUAUGACACUUUUUUUUUUUAUGAUUAUUAUUAUUUAAAUGUUUUUAUUUUCUUCUGUUAGUGUCACUGUCUCGAUUCUCAAUCAUCUUAGUUUUUUUUCUUUAUCCAUUAAGAAACUUAAUUACACACAUAAAGAAAAUUUUCAACUAUUGGCGAAAUAAUUCUUUGUUUGUUAUCUCAGUUGAAAACAUUAUACAUCAACGUACAUCUAAUCUUAUUGUUAUUUUGGUUUACACUAUAAUUAAUGUUAUAAUACAAAUGUGAAAUUGUUUUGUUGUGUAGGGAAUCAUGAGAUGGGCCUCUCUCUAUUUCUAUCUCUCAGCUUGGCCUACCAAUCUCGUUCUCACUUGGCCCUUGAAGCUAAUAGAAAACAGCAAAGUGUCUCGUUUGUUUUUACAUGGUCGAACGAAAACGAUACACAAAACAUAACAUAAAAAAGAAACAUCUCGUUUGAUCUUAUAUAUAUAGAAUGCUUUUUUUAGAAUAUGAUUCAUUUUUAUCUUUUGCUUAUUUGUCGUUUGUCCCCACUAAAACAAUCAAUCUGAUUUUGUAUAUGAUUGUCAAAUAUUUUAAUCAAG